rnacentral:misc_RNA from 1 species
AUUGUAACAAGGUUUCCGUAGGUGAACCUGCGGAAGGAUCAUUACCGAGUGCGGGCCUUCGCGGCCCAACCUCCCACCCUUGUCUCUAUACACCUGUUGCUUUGGCGGGCCCACCGGGGCCACCUGGUCGCCGGGGGACGCACGUCCCCGGGCCCGCGCCCGCCGAAGCGCUCUGUGAACCCUGAUGAAGAUGGGCUGUCUGAGUAUUAUGAAAAUUGUCAAAACUUUCAACAAUGGAUCUCUUGGUUCCGGCAUCGAUGAAGAACG